AACGCACCUUGCGCUCCUUGGUAUUCCGAGGAGCAUGCCUGUUUGAGUGUCAUUAAAUUCUCAACUCCGAUCGAUUUGUUUCGACCUCGGAGCUUGGACUUUGGAGCGUGCUGGCGUCGGUCGGCUCCUCUCAAAUGCAUCAGCGGAAUCUAACGUUUCGGACGUCAGUGUGAUAAUCAUGUUGCGCUGUCCUCCGAUCCUGAAAGCCUGCUCAUAAUGGUCUUCGGACAACUUCAUAUCAAAUUUGACCUCAAAUCAGGUAGGACUACCCGCUGAACUUAA
rnacentral:misc_RNA from 3 species